GAUGAAGAACGUAGCGAAAUGUGAUAAUUAAUGUGAAUUGCAGAAUUCCGUGAAUCAUCGAGUCUUUGAACGCACAUUGCGCCUCAUGGCAUUCCGUGAGGCAUGCCCAUCUCAGCGUUAGAAAAUAUUCUCAAAUUUUAGUUUUGUGCUAAAAUUUGGAUCAUGUCAAGGAAGCUAUUACUAUUAUUGUGAUCGCUCUUUGGAAAUUGAUAGGUCUUUGAGUUGCUACUCAUAGAACGUGAUGAAUCUUUCUUCGUUCUAUUGUAAUUCACUCUGGUAGUCCUAAAACUUGUAUGCCUGUGGCAUAUCUUGUAAUUUGACCUGAGAUUGGGGAGGGAUACCCGCUGAACUUAAGCAUAUCAAUAAGCGGAGGA
rnacentral:misc_RNA from 1 species